CCUCCAAAACACAUUCCAACGGAUAGCAGUAAAAAAUUGCCCCACACUUAUGUCCUCAGGCGUCCCAGCGAAGCAGAAUGAGAAAACGGUGGGGAAAGGGAGAGAUUAGAGCCGGCUCCGAGCAGCCGAGCGGCGCCGCCGUGGAGGAGAGGCCGCGCCGCACAGCCGUGAGGACCAGAGAAGAGUACACCACCGGGCCGGAACCUGCUGCCGUGAACCGCCGCGGCGGCACGGAAGGAGCGCCGCUACGGAUUGGGGAGGAGCGCCGUUGCAGGCCUAGGGAGAGCGCCGCCCGGACCAAGCUCCCUGCUCGACCGAUCAAGGACUCUCGAUUCCGGCCGCCUGCAGCACAUCAGGCCAUCAGCUAACAGCACUGAGCAAAGCUAGCGGUAUGCAAAAAACAGAGAGGCCGUUGAUUUGCUUAUAUCUGGUUCUGCUAUUAAGUUACUGAAGCAAGACACCUUUUUCCUAUUGUUCUGGCGAAUUCGUCUCAGUUCAUUCAUCCUCUGGUCAUCUGAUAUCACAACAGAUCUCAAGUCUCCUUUUAUGCCACUGUGGGGCUCAUGUGCUGCUGCUGCUGCUGAUAUUUUGUCUUGACGCCCAUCUUUGUUUAAUGUACUCCAAUUACUGUCAAUGUGGUUUCUCUUUCACACGCAUUAGUUCACAUGACAGUUUGCCAGGUGAAACUUUAUUAUUCUGUGACUGCAUACUUAUAAUUUUUAAAAAUUAGACACAUCUCUGAAGUGUGUAUAGUUAAAAAACCAAUCACCUCUUUAUCUGGCAUGUUCUGCUUCUUCAUUAACAUGGUGUCCACCUCAUGAUCCAUCAAUUCCUGUGCAACAUAUGUAAGAUGAGUUGGUUAAGGAAUUCUAGAGAUGGUACUUCAUAUUUUUCAAAAAAGGUUAAUGCACCUUUACCCCCUCGGCUUUAUCGUUCAAGUAGACCAUCUCAAGGCCAUCAUCAGGCAAAAAUGUUCUUUUUACUGCAUAGUUUUGUUUGCGACAGGUCAGAUUAUAUCAUUGAAAUUGAAUCAAAAUAUAAGUUUUUUCCACAUAAUUUUUUAGUAAUCUUUGGUGCUUCUUAUGAUUUCCCAUCUAGUGAGUUCAGCAAGUUAGAUGUAGAUGUAUAAAGCAAGUUAUUCUUCUCUCCAUGGGCUUCAUUUUGUUAGUUGUCCAAUGACAUGUAUAUUUGGAGAUUAUUGAUAUAACAAUUAGAUAUAUCAAUUAUAUGGAAGUCGUAAUUACAACUAUCAACAUACCUGAGCAUUGUGUAUCUUUUUCUGUCCUAUCUUGUAGUGUGUCCAUGGUAGCAAACUCGCGGCAAUAAUUCGGAAAAACUUUCAAAGAUCCUUUUAUCUUUUACCUGUGUAUUGUAUGCAAAAAAUAUUUUAAUUUCAUUUUCUCACUGGCCUAUAUUUUGUAAUUCCAACUCAACAUUGUUGAAUGCAUAAAUAGAUUUCUUAUUGAUCUUUGAUCUAAACAUGUCUAUUAGAUUCUUCCAAAUAGUAACAUGGAUUGUUUCACCCUGUCAAAACAAUCAAAUAUGGUUAGUAACUGCAUCUUAACUUGAAAAAACUGCAAUUAAAUAUAUAGAAACAGACCUGCUCAUCCAUCAGUAUCAUAUCUAGGCUAGUUAGCUCAUGGGUCGUAGGAUUGACUGAAUCCCACACUCAUUGCGUUCACUUGAAUGUUCUAGUUAUGUCCCCUCAUAGUUAAGUCGUUGAACUUCUUGUAUGUGAUAGUGUUAUGUCCUCAAAAUUAAUAGAAAACAAUAUGUAACUAAUACAGGAUUUAUGAAGAUUCUAGGCAGAAAAAGUAAGCUUGCUAAAUAACAAUCACCAAAUCUGAUGAUUCAGGCGAGAAGUGCUUUGGAGUGAGUUCUUCCAACGUUGACUGGAGCAAUUGGGCGUGGCUUUGUUGGGCGUCGGGCGUGCUUUGGCAUGACUUCGUUGGACGUCGAGUGAAGCGGCUGGGCAUGGAUUUUCAUGGUAGCUCUGUCGACUUCAAUAUGUUCACCUCGUGGUGGUUGUCGACUUCAAAUUAAUUGGUGUGUCAUUGUGCGACUGGUUGUACUUGCUUAUAUGGGUUGAGGUGGCUGGGUUUGAGGUGGCCGAGAUGUCUGGAAAUCUGAUUGUGACCUUGUCCUAUAUUUCUUUUUGGGAAUUUUCAACAUUAAUUGCUUUUUUAAUUGCUUA